AUGCAGUUGGAUGAUGUCUCCGCCCCAACUUUUCUAGUUUUCUUUUCUAGAAAACUAGAGGUUCUGCUUUCGUGGAUGAGAUUCUUGCCUAGUAUUGGCACGAGAAAUUCAACACAAAUGCAGGCCCUAGUCGAUGAAAGCACUACUAUCUAUAUGUUAAAAAUAGUCAUGUCAUAUGCUGGAGCUCUUUCUGCAAUGAAUAUAUGA